CUCUCGCUUUUGCUUUCUCUCUCCCUCUCUCAUUCCCACAACUUCCACACUCCCACAACUGCUACACUCCCACUCACACUCACUCGCUCGCUGUCUCUUCAAUGACAAUCCAUCCGUGGCUUCUUAUCACAAAAACGGGUUUACUGCAGACUAGCUCUGCUGCAUGGCUGUCACUGACCAAACCCCGCUCAGUUCAAUUAAAUUCUGGCUGUUUGUCACCUCAUAAUGUCCGGCGACAUCUUAAAACAAAUGGAAACGUCUUGUGAUUCCAAUUUCACUCAACGCAACCCUUUGCUAUGUGUGCUCUGCCAUGAGCAGUACGAUGAUCCCUGCAUUUUUGCCUGCUUUCACAGUUUCUGUGCUCGUUGUCUCCGCGGCCGGGCUGUGGCUGGCAAAAUGAAGUGUCCUUUAUGCAGUUCGACAACGAUCCUGAAAGAAGGUCAUAUCCUGCCCCCUUCUGAUGUCCUUCUGAAGUUCCUUGUGGAGUCUUCAUCUGAGGAGGAGCGAGUGGAGUGUGCCAACUGUGACUCUCAUAAAGGCCAUAUGUUUUUCUGUAACACAUGUUGUCAACCCCUAUGUGGCGUUUGCCGUGAAGAAACACACAAAGCCAAAAUGUUCGACAGGCACGAAAUCAUUUUGCUUUCAAAGAAGACCAAGGAGGUUCACAAGAGAUGUGCUCUCCACGGAGAGCAAUUCAUUAUGUUCUCUACUGAGAAGAAAGUCAUGGUCUGCAUCAAAUGUUUCCGAGAUAUGAAAGUGGAAAGCCGGGCUCAUUGUGUUGAUUUGGAAACGGCGUACAAUCAGAGUUGCACCAAGCUGGACCAGGCCGUUCAUUCAAUCCAAGAACUACAGAACUCGGUGAAAGAAGGCAUCCAGUUGUUACGUUCUCUACUGGACGAGAUACAGCAGAAGUCACAAGCAGAGAAGGACGCUAUCUUAGAACUCUACGAGUCCAUGUUACACAGGAUUAAUGAAAUGAAAACCCAGCUUCUUGAGGAGGUCAAAAGACAAUACUACGCCAAAGAGAAACUGUUCAAGGCCCAGCUACUUUAUCUCAACACUUUGCUACCCACCUUACAUGUCAACCUCGUCACCUGCAGUGCCUUCUCAAGUUCUGCCAAUAAGUUUGAAUUCCUUAAUUUAUCUUUUGUUCUCAUGGAACGCCUGCAGUCGCUGGCCCUUCAGAAACACCCUCUCCGUCCGACGCAGGGAAGUCAAGUGAACACUGACCAUAAAAACGAAUUUGCCAAAUGCCUGGAGCCACUUCUAUUUCCAAACCUCUGCAGAGAAUUCACCUCAUCCACCAACAACAGUAACACCUUCGCACCAACUGUCAAGCUGGAAUUGUCUAAAGUACACCAUUCCAACAACAACAAGCUCACUACUAGCACCAAUACUACAGCAGGCCACCAGAACAGUAGCAGUCAACACCACCAUCAUCAUCAUAACAACCCCACUACUACCUCCCCUAAUACUGCAACCACUACUACGACUACACUACCUACUGCUAGUAGUGGUGGUAGUAGUGUUACAGCAUCUCUGAUCAACUACAGCAUCAACUUCAACAACUAUCGGCGCUCCAAUGGGAAAAGUAACAGUAUAAUCAAAUUUAUUGAUGCCAAGGGUCCCUUUGCUGACCACUGCAACGAGUUUGAUGUGGUACACAGGGAUCUAAUCCAGAAGUUGGAUCACUUGAAGCUGGAGGCCCAGGAGCUGCAUCGAGAUUUAACCCUGCGUCGUUGUCUGGCCAAGAAGACGGUGAUCGCUGAUCUGAGGAAGAUUGUGUCCCUCCUUGAGGAGCAGCUACAUCGUCACCACCUCAACCUGGAGCACAAACAGCCCCUCUUGGAGAAGCACUGGGAAGAUUCCGUCCAAAGAAUAGCAAACGAACAAGAAUUAUAUCAAGCCCAGCUAAAUGAUGUGAACCGCUUGAAACAGGAAUGUCAUCAUCUCUCAACUAUUGUGAUGCAGCUCUCAUCUUUUGUCAGUUCCAUAUCAGCAGUCACAGAACGCAUUGCACCAAAGUUAGCCCAAUCUAGUAAAGAUGCUGACCACGAGAACCAAAUCCAUGCAUUGUUCGAACAAAUCAAUACUAUAACCAACCCAGACUCACAACACAGGCAUAUCUCUAUGACAUCAGCCCCGUGCAACACAGGUCUGUGUAAACCAGAGAAGGCCCCAAACAGGUUACCCCCGUACACAGACACAGCUGUGAAAAAGUCUUAACCCGCUCCCCUAUCUUUUAAUUCUCAACUUUUCACUUUCCGCCUCCCACCCAGCCUGCUCUCUCUCUCUCUCUUGCUACUAAUACAAUUGUACAUACAAUGUGUGUGUGUGUGUGUGUGUGUG